rnacentral:rRNA from 1 species
GAUGAACGCUGGCGGCGUGCCUAAUACAUGCAAGUCGAGCGAACAGACGAGGAGCUUGCUCCUCUGACGUUAGCGGCGGACGGGUGAGUAACACGUGGAUAACCUACCUAUAGGACUGGGAUAACUUUGGGAAACCGGAGCUAAUACCGGAUAAUAUAUUGAACCGCAUGGUUCAAUAGUGAAAGACGGUUUUGCUGUCACUUAUAGAUGGAUCCGCGCCGCAUUAGCUAGUUGGUAAGGUAACGGCUUACCAAGGCGACGAUGCGUAGCCGACCUGAGAGGGUGAUCGGCCACACUGGAACUGAGACACGGUCCAGACUCCUACGGGAGGCAGCAGUAGGGAAUCUUCCGCAAUGGGCGAAAGCCUGACGGAGCAACGCCGCGUGAGUGAUGAAGGUCUUCGGAUCGUAAAACUCUGUUAUUAGGGAAGAACAAAUGUGUAAGUAACUAUGCACGUCUUGACGGUACCUAAUCAGAAAGCCACGGCUAACUACGUG